rnacentral:tRNA from 1 species
GGGACGGUAACUCAGUGGUAGAGUGCUUGCCUUGCAUGCAUGAGGCCCUGGGUUCGAUUCCUCAGCACCA